UUCAAUGUGUUUUUUAAAGACAGCGAUAAUUGUGCUCGCAUUGAUUGCAGUUGCGUCCACCAUUGAAGCGACAGAAGAAGACAAGAAGAACUUGGCUGAAAUGUCAAAGUUGUGUUACCAAGAGAUAAAUGACAAAUACGUCUGGUAUACAAUCGGUCAGAAGACGCCAUGUGCUCCGGCAGGAGGAGACUUGUUCAAUCAGGGUAGGUGCUGUGGAGACAACUCGUUUGUCAUGGUAUCGAGGCCUGGCAAAUGUCCAAGUUAUAAACAAUGGAGUUGGCUCAAGAGAAAGUGUAGGACUCCAGAAUGGUAUGAGAAUAAUCCACAGUAAUCGAGAAACAGGAAGUCAGGAGCUACAGUGUUUGGAAUUUUGACAUUGUUAUCAUUUUUGGGUAGAAAAUUCUAUAGAAUACAAGUUAUUUGAAUUCAUGUUAUUUGAAUUCAUGUAUGUAUUGAUUCUUUUACUGUCUAUUUUGGGCUACAAUUCACUCUUACUGAAGCGAUAUUUAUUAUGUUGAUUUGAAAACAUUUUCUGAGGAUUA